ensembl:snRNA U6 U6 spliceosomal RNA
GUGCUCACUUCAUCAGCACUAUGCUAAAGUUGGAAUGACACGUUGUAGAUUAACAUGGUCCCUGUGCAAGGAUGACAUGCAUAUUCAUAAAGUUUUAGAAACUAAA